rnacentral:lncRNA from 13 species
CUAUAACUUUGGGCACCACUGCCCAAAGACAAGACCCGGUUCCUCUGCAUUGCUGCUGUCACUGCCAUGAAGGGGGCUCUGAAGAAACACUGUACUGAUGUGGAUAUGACAGCACUGUGGCUGAAGAACACCUCCUCACACAGGAUUAAAAUGCUGUAUAUGUGAAGGAUCUCUAGGAUGGCGCUGUGGAUCUGGUGCCAUUGACCUUUUACCUCACUUUUUACCUCAUUGACCUGAACCGUGCUCUGAGUGACCUCUUUAUCCAGGACUAUCAGCAGCUCCUGUCCAUCUCCGAGAGCCGCCUGCAGCCCAACAUUGGUACAACUGACUAACGAUAUGAGACGAACGAUAUGAAAAUCAGCCAACAACCAACCAACUCAGCCAACAACCAACCAACUCAGCCAACAACCAACCAACUCAGCCAACAACCAACCAACUAACUCUGCCAACUAAACCUUUUAUCAUAUAGUCAUCUUUCUUACCAUCCUGCAAUAGCUCAUAUGUAUUAACAUUUAAUAUUAUGUAUUAACAUGUAAACAUUAAUAGCUCAUGUUCACCUUUCCCAUAAUCUAGAGUUAGUUUGUAAAGAUCCGUUUGUGUGGGCUGCAGGCAAGGGGAGCUGUGGGCUGCAGGCAGGGGGAGCUGUGCCAUGUUGGAGCCUCUCAUCCAGGCCGCUCAGCUCCUGCAAGUGGGCAAGAAGACAAAACGCUGACACGCAGGCCCUCGUUCAUACCUGCACUGCUCAGGUGGUUUUUAAGCUGGUAUUGGUAGGGGGAAAUGUUCAAAGUGUUGUAGAUAUUAAUUCAAUAGAAUAAAAACCAAUAUUAUUCUGUGAACAUUAUUGUCUUUACUAGAGAACCGUGUCCUUUCUAUACAGUAUAUGUCUAUGUCCAACCUCGUGAAUGUUUCUUCCUACUGAACACACGCUUGCAGGGCUAAGCUAACUGUCUGUCUCUGUUGUGCCACAGAUUGUGAAGACUCUGGCCCUGUACACCCCUCACAGUGACCUAGAGGUGAGAGCGACACUCAUUUUUAUCUGCACAGUGCAGGUACUGCAGGUACACAUACAACAAUAAUGGAAAUACGUCUAGUCAUAAAAUGUCAAGUCUGUCUGAAUUCACUAGGGUUGUGGUGUGGUCUAGUUACCAGUACUGUGGUUGAGUUGCGUUCAUCAUCUCCUCUCUGUUCCAUCAGGGUCUGCUGAAGGAGCGUUGCUGAUGGACGUACAGCGUGUGUUCACCCAGACCGUCCGCUCUGACCAGCUGGACAUCCCAGACUCCGUUAAGAUGUGUUUCCUGCAACGGGCCUGAGAGGAAGCAGUAGUUAUACAGGUCUUUCACUGUGGAUUACAAGUCUUGGUACUGCUGCAGAAGUCUUUUCUCUGCAGGAUAUAUAGUAUAUCAAAGUAAUACGUGAGUAAUGUGUGUGUGUAAUUGUCUUAUUUUGCAUUACUCCUAUCAGUAGCACAUGUACAAGCACAAUAUUACUGUUCUUAAUGAGCUAUUAGAAUGCUCAUAUGGAUUUUAUUCUUAUCUGUUUCAUAGUAUUGAUUUUUGACAGACAUUUCCUUAUCUGUACUAAGAUUACAGUAUUGCCUAUCUGCUACUAGACAUUUCCUAAUUGGAGGCAUCCCACCUUCCUCAAUGCCUACCUACGUGUACAUUGGAAAUGUGUGCUUAAUACAUUUAGAAAUUGGUAAUAUGUUCCAGAUAUCAGAAUACAUUAUUAUAAUUAUACAAAU